AACGAACGCUGGCGGCAGGCUUAACACAUGCAAGUCGAGCGCCCCGCAAGGGGAGCGGCAGACGGGUGAGUAUCGCGUGGGAAUCUACCCAUCUCUACGGAAUAACGCAUGGAAACGUGUGCUAAUACCGUAUACGUCCUUCGGGAGAAAGAUUUAUCGGAGAUGGAUGAGCCCGCGUUGGAUUAGCUAGUUGGUGGGGUAAAGGCCUACCAAGGCGACGAUCCAUAGCUGGUAUGAGAGGAUGAUCAGCCACACUGGGACUGAGACACGGCCCAGACUCCUACGGGAGGCAGCAUUGGGGAAUAUUGGACAAUGGACGCAAGCCUGAUCCAGCCAUGCCGCGUGAGUGAUGAAGGCCCUAGGGCUGUAAAGCUCUUUCACCGGUGAAGAUAAUGACGGUAACCGGAGAAGAAGCCCCGGCUAACUUCGUGCCAGCCGCCGCGGUAACAC
rnacentral:rRNA from 1 species